rnacentral:tRNA from 1 species
GCGGAUUUAGCUCAGUUGGGAGAGCGCCAGACUGAAGAAAAACUUCCGUCAAGUCAUCUGGAGGUCCUGUGUUCGAUCCACAGAAUUCGCA